AAGUUAGCGAUAAUUAUAAAAAUAAUUAUUUGUUAUGACUUGCUUAAUUUGGGUAUGACAAAUAUCUUAUUACAAUCAUAGAAUAUGAGUUAC
rfam:Theobroma cacao cultivar Matina 1-6 chromosome 3, whole genome shotgun sequence.